AGUGAACGCUGGCGGUAGGCCUAACACAUGCAAGUCGAACGGCAGCACAGGAGAGCUUGCUCUCUGGGUGGCGAGUGGCGGACGGGUGAGGAAUACAUCGGAAUCUACUUUUUCGUGGGGGAUAACGUAGGGAAACUUACGCUAAUACCGCAUACGACCUACGGGUGAAAGCAGGGGACCUUCGGGCCUUGCGCGAUUGAAUGAGCCGAUGUCGGAUUAGCUAGUUGGCGGGGUAAAGGCCCACCAAGGCGACGAUCCGUAGCUGGUCUGAGAGGAUGAUCAGCCACACUGGAACUGAGACACGGUCCAGGCUCCUACGGGAGGCAGCAGUGGGGAAUAUUGGACAAUGGGCGCAAGCCUGAUCCAGCCACACCGCGUGGGUGAAGAAGGCCUUCGGGUUGUAAAGCCCUUUUGUUGGGAAAGAAAUCCAGCUGGCUAAUACCCGGUUGGGAUGACGGUACCCAAAGAAUAAGCACCGGCUAACUUCGUGCCAGCAGCCGCCGUAA
rnacentral:rRNA from 1 species